AGUUUUGCAGGUUUGCAUCCAGCUGUUAAUACAUAUUGCUGUGCAAAUCCAUGCAAAACUGA
rnacentral:pre_miRNA from 1 species